CUCAGGGAUAAAACCCAGGUACCCGCCUCUCCCGGGCCGGGCAUUUUGCCCCCAGCUGGCCCAGGAAGCAGGGCGGGGGGCCACAGGAGCCUUCGAGUCUUUCUAAGGAUAGUGUCCAAUGGGUUUCUCUUGCUGUCUCCGGAGCCUGGGCGCCGGUGCCUGUACUCAUCGCUGCCCAGCCCCAGCCAGGUGGUCCCUCGUCCACCACCACAACUGGCUCGUGUGUGUGUGCAACACACUCUGCGCAAUGUGACUGGACCUUGAGCUCCGCGUGGACUGGGCUGCUGUCCACGGAGACCCAGCACCUGUGUCCCUGACACACAGAGGCAACAAGGGGACUCUGGCAGGACAGAUCCUGAAGCUCCGAAUCACAGAC
rnacentral:lncRNA from 1 species